rnacentral:lncRNA from 1 species
GCCAGAUGGACAUCAGCAAAGGUCAUUUCCAGAAACAGAGGCAGCUUGUGCAAAUCACAUCAAGUCACAUGAUUUUCAAGAUGUGCUAUUCUAGAAGAUGAGGGACCUCACAGGACACAGAAGGAGGCCAUCCGCUGACUGGAUGAGAUUUGCCUACCCCACAGAGAUGAUUGUUACGUGGGGCCCAUUGAUUUACAUCUUAACCUCAUCUAAAAAAUCCAGAAUCGUUGGUUAGAAACACUAUGAUGAUGUAUACCAGAAGAUACACAUAAAUGAAGAGAGGCCUUGAAUUCACGGAAUAGAAAACUUACUAUCAGAUUGAUAUAAACUCCUUUACAGAGUCAAUGCCAUCCUCAUCAAGAUCCCAACAAAAAUUUUCACAGAAAUCAAAAGCAAUCCUAAAGCUCACAUGUAUCCGAGAUAGACCAAAAAUCAGUAAAGCAAUUAUGAAAAAACGAAUAUCACUUGCAGUAUUGAAGUAUUAUACUACCUGCUCUCAAAACAUACUAUAGAGCUAUAAUAACCAAGACAAUAUGGCACUACCACAAACAUGGCUUAUAGGCUGCCCAGAAAUAAAUCCUUGUGUCUACAGUCAGCUGCCAAGAAUGUAUGUAUUUUCCCUAACAAUUGAUUCUGGCUGAAGGGACUAUCUACACGUACAAGAAAUAAACUGGGUCUUUAUUUUGUCUCAAGUACAGUAAUCAGCUCAAAAUGGACUGAAGACUUCAACCUAAGACGUAAAACUGUCAUGUUCCC